UUACGGCCACAUCACGCUGAAACACCGGUACGACCACAGAAGUUAAGCAACGUCGAGCCCGGUCAGUACCUAGUUGGGCAACCGCUUGGGAAUACCAAGUGACGUAAG